AUGCAAUGUAAUUCCUAGAACAUUAAUGAUAUAGAACCCAAUAAAGCUCCACAUUUAAGUGAACUUGGGAUACAUUAGUACUUGGAUGGGUGACCUCCUGGGAAUUCCUAGUGUUUUUCAUG
rfam:Picea glauca, whole genome shotgun sequence.